AUACUUACCUGGAUGGGGUCAAUGGAUGAUCAAGAAGGUCCAUGGCCUAGGUUGGUGACCUCCAUUGCACUUAGGAGGGGUGCCCACCUAAGGUCUCCCCAAGUGGGAGAGCCUACAUCAUAAUUUGUGCUAGUGGGGGCUUGCGUUCGCGCAGCCCCCUU
rfam:Glycine soja cultivar W05 scaffold1357_36, whole genome shotgun sequence.